UUUUUAAGAGCUUCUGAAAAGGACAUAGCCCCUCCUCCUGAAGAAUGCCUUCAACUCCUCAGCAGAGCCACCCAGGUGUUCAGAGAGCAGUACAUUCUCAAACAGGACUUGGCAAAGGAGGAGAUUCAGCGGAGGGUCAAAUUAUUAUGUGACCAAAAAAAGAAACAACUAGAAGAUCUCAGUUAUUGUCGAGAAGAGAGGAAAAGUCUGCGGGAAAUGGCUGAGCGUUUAGCUGACAAAUAUGAGGAAGCUAAAGAAAAACAAGAGGAUAUCAUGAACAGGAUGAAAAAACUACUUCACAGUUUUCACUCUGAGCUCCCAGUUCUCUCUGAUAGUGAGCGAGACAUGAAGAAAGAAUUACAGCUGAUACCUGAUCAACUUCGACAUUUGGGCAAUGCCAUCAAACAGGUUACUAUGAAAAAGGACUAUCAACAGCAAAAGAUGGAGAAGGUGUUGAGUCUUCAAAAACCCACCAUUAUUCUCAGUGCCUACCAGCGAAAGUGCAUUCAGUCCAUCCUGAAGGAGGAGUAAGUAAAUAUUUCCAAUCA
rnacentral:sRNA from 1 species